rnacentral:tRNA from 1 species
AGCCCCGUAGUCUAGCGGCCAAGGAUAGCGGACUUUGGAUCCGUUGGCCCAGGUUCGAAUCCUGGCGGGGCUA